CAUGCAGUACUAAGAAAGAGACAUUCCUUAAUUUCUCACACUAUUUUAGACUUUAUUCAUAAAAAAUUAUGUCUCAUAUAUAAAUAUUUUAUGUGAAAUUAAAGCUCUGUUUCUGAACAGAAAUCUGUAUAAUAAGUGUGGGUGCACUUAAUACAAAAGAGGUAAAUUAUGGUUAAACAGACAUAUAGUCAAAUUCCAGGUUUUGUUUUGAUCAGAACUUGUACUUUUGCAUCCAUCCCUAAUAUAUACUGUAGUGGAG